CCCUUAGAUGUUCUGGGCCGCACGCGCGCUACACUGAUGAAUGCAACGAGCUCUACCCUUGACCGAAAGGCCCGGGUAAACUUGUGAAACUUCAUCGUGAUGGGGAUAGAUUAUUGCAAUUAUUAAUCUUCAACGAGGAAUUCCCAGUAAGCGCGAGUCAUCAGCUCGCGUUGAUUACGUCCCUGCCCUUUGUACACACCGCCCGUCGCUCCUACCGAUUGAAUGGUCCGGUGAAAUCUUCGGAUUGCUGACCAAGAUCCAGCAAUGGAGCUUGGUUGCGAGAAGUUGAUUAAACCUUAUUAUUUAGAGGAAGGAGAAGUCGUAACA
rnacentral:rRNA from 1 species